GUUGUCUCCUAUUUAGUCAUCCCUAGUGGCUCGUAUGAAGGUGAAUGUCUUGGCAGUGAUUACUGGUUUGAAUCCGACCUUCUCUUCCCUGAAUUUCUUGCCAGUAAUAACUGCUUUCUUCCACCCCCAACCUCUCAAACAGUCUAUUUUUUUCAAAAUUUCGCCUUUCGCCGUUUAAGCAAUCUGGCCCGUCUCCACCACCCGCACCCGCGACUAUGACUCUGGGAUUACAUUCAAUGAACGACGAAAAAAAGAAAGCUAGGGAUGCUAUUCUUGGCAGAAAAUUUGAUCAGGUACGUGUCAACCUUUCUGGAAACACUCAGGUCUCAUCGAAGCUAUGAUGCACUCAAAUUAUA